GGUGCUCAUGCCGGUCUGGCCACACCUGUUCCCUUUCCGAACACAGUCGUUAAGCAGAUCGGGCCGAUGGUACUGG
rnacentral:rRNA from 1 species